AUAAACGAUAUUUCAUUUAAAUAAAUACCCAGGUCUUCACAAUUCUGAGUAGACUCCAGAACUUUCUAAUUAAUGACUUCAACACCAUCCCUUAAUAAGCCACCUGAGGUUUCAGGUUGUUUCCAUUUUUUUUUUUCACCGUGGUCUCCCAUUCAGCAGCCAUGACACUGCCUCUGCUUUAAUUGUCUUCCUCUAUCAAUCACAAUUUCCACAGAUAUUUUCUAUUGGUGGCGACUAUCAUUUGGAUAUGUGACCCUCCAAUCUCAUCUGGAAAUUUGAUCUCAGUGUUGGAGUUAGGGCCUAACAGGAGGUAUUUGGGUCAUGGGGACAGAUUUUAUAAACUGCUGGGUGACAUCCUCCCUCCUGUUAAUGUGUGAGUUCUUACUUUAUUAGUUUCCAUGACAUCCGAUUGUUAAAAGCUAUUAUCUCUUUGCUGCACUGCAUUGCAACUUCUUCUAC
rnacentral:lncRNA from 1 species